rnacentral:lncRNA from 10 species
CUUUUCCAUGAAGGUCCCCAAUUGGGCAGUGCCCUGAAAUCACUUCUAAUGCUGAUGCUAGGCAACACCUCAGACCUACUGCUCAGACCCUCCAGGGGCAGGGCCCAGGAUUGAAGAGGGAAGCCCUGCUCCACACGUGUUCAUCAGGAAGGACCCACAGACUGCUGCUCCUGGAGGCCUCUCGGUUUAUGGAUGUGUGUUUGUUCCAUAAACCCUCAGAGGGUCACCUGGAGACCCGCUAAAAUGCAGGUUCUUGGGCCACAUCCUAGACCUUCUGACCGACCCAGGGAGUGGGGCCCAGGAAGCUGCAUUUGACAGAUAUCCCCGUGUGAUCAUCAUGCACACAGGAGUGAGAGAACCAGUGUUCUCCCCGGGCAGAAGGGAAGCUCGUGUGCAGGACACCUCACACCUCCUUUCCCAUUCCCCUGCCAGGCUCUCCCUGCUGACAUUGUUUUUGCGGGAGAGCUGUGAAUUCUGAAGAUUAGGUUGCUUCUCACCCCAAGCUCCAGAAGUCCAGGCUGAGCCAAACCAAGCUUCAAGUUAACAAGUCAAAUGACAAAAACAAAACACCAGGCUGAAAUCAUAGGCUUCUACAAGCAGGUGCCUGGACUUGGAGAACCAGGAGGUGAGGGGACUGACUACUUGAAGAUCACAUGGAGGAGGAGUCUGAUCCAGGCCCAGGAUCCUGGAUGUCUCAGUCUCCCCAGGUGAUCAUGUGGCCUCAGAAGCCAGAGCUAGAUGUGCUCCUGAUCUUGUAGCCCCUCGUCCUAUGCCUCAUCAAAACCAGGGGUCAUUGGAAUGGACUGAAGAAGGAGAAAACUAGAAAGGAUCUGAGGGAAGUGGUCUGGCUGAAAGCUUGACGUGGACAGAGUCCUGGCUCUCAGGCAGACACUUAAAUUCUCCUGGUGCUGCAGACAUCACAGCUGAAUCCAUUUAAAAGAGGAUGGCAAAUAUAUAAAUCAUGACCUCAAAAUUCCUUCAAUCUCUCACAGGACACCAGGGAAAUAUUUUAUUAUCCCUCAAUAACAACCAGGGUCAGGAAUAAAUUUGGAAUUCUUUAAUUUAGGCUCCAGUUCAUUUGCUAAAUUAAAUGCUUGAAAUAAUUUCCUGCUAUGAAAAUAUGAGACUCUUACUAUUCAGAUAAAUAGACUUUUCAAAUCAAAGGCUUGAAAUCUUAAGAAUUAUCUCAAAAUGCCUUUUGAAAAACCUUUUCUGUUUUGGAUCAUAAAAUGUCAAAGGCACACUAUCAUGAACCACAGUUUCUCUAAAUUUAGCUUUACUUAUUAGUAUGCAGUCAUAUCUAAGUUAAUAAGAUGUCAUGCUUAAAAUAAUAAAAUCCAUUUCUUUGGAAAUAUACUGUAUAUAGAUGGGACUACCAGCUAUGAAGGAGUGAAGCGGUUAACAAAUCCUCUCCCUGCAAAGCAAUUAUAAAGCUGGACAAAAUUGUCGAAAACAAUUAUUUCAGGGCUCUGGAAAUUGACAAGGGGCAAGCAAAUUGAGAAAUUUAUGUUCUCAAGAAACUAUGGAGAUUCAAGUAAACACAGUGGAAAUACAUGGCAUUCUUGCUGAAACUGCCUCCACCAGUCAACAUGGUUGUUUGACCUGGACAGCACAGGCCUUCACUUGAUUUGAAGUGAAAAGUAGAAACCCACAGUCAGCAGCAAGUGGGAAAAGCUUGCAGAUUUCCUAGACUGAAGUUGCAAUCCUGGUUGGGAUGAGCAGUAUUGAACUAACCAGAAAUUUAACAGGAAGGUCGUGGAAAUGAACUAGCAUUGAGAGCUUGACAAGCAUUCCAUAUCCCUGUCUGUCUGGGAACCUGUAUGCAUGCACAGUGGAGACCCAAGAGGGCCCAGUGUUAACAUAACACCUAGGGCAGAGAUGAAAACUGGCCCAAAUUUGAAUACAUUUCCCAUUUCAAUCACAGAUCCACCAGUGGCAAAGUAUGGUAUUUGAACACAAUUUCUGACCAGUUUUUGAGUGCUCAUUAAGCUGUGCAGACACAAAGGUGACCCAUAAGAAGCCAACCCUUCCACCUGUGCAAAAAAACAAGUAAGAAUUUUUUUUUUUUUUUGGGAGAUGGAGUUUCACUCUUUCACCCAGGCUAGAGUGAAGUGGCAGGAUCUUGGCUCACUGCAACCUCCGCUCGCCCUCCCAGCCCCCACUCCCCGGGUUCAAGCUAUUCUCCUGCCUCAGCCCCCUGAGUAUCUGGGAUUAUAGGCACCCACCACCCACCACCACACCCAGCUAAUUUUUGUAUUUUUAUUUUUAGUAGAGACGGGGUUUCGCCAUGUUGGCCAGGCUGGUCUUGAACUCCUGACCUCAGGUGAUCCACCUUCCUCGGCCUCUCAAAGUGCUAGGAUAACAGGUGUGAGCUACCACGCCCAGCCAACAAAUAAGAAUUUUUUUAAAAAAACUGAUCAGGGAUAUCAGCAGAUGCACACUGAAGGGUAACAGAUUCUGCAGAUCAAGUCCAGGCAAGUUAUAAACUAAUAUAAGGUAGCAACAACCAAGACUCUCUGAGGUUGAAAGGAAAAAUGAAUCCAGAGUUCUUAUGAUAUAUUAUCUAAAAUAUGAAAUUUUCAAUAAAAGUUUAUGAGUCAUAGAAAAAAAAUGAAGAAAGUAUUAUCCAUACUAGGGGGUGGAGUGGAGGGCAGGAGAGACGUCAAUGAAAUGGUCUUUGAGUGCUUUAGAUGUUGAUUUAACAGACAGACUUCAAAGCUGCUAUUUUAAAUAUGAUAAAAAAAUUGAAGGAAAUCAUGCUUAAAUAAUUUAAGGAAAAUAUUAUGAAAGUGACUCAACAAGUAGGAAUAUCAAUAAAGAAAUAACAUUUUUAAAAAAGAACCAAAUGGAAAUUCUAGAGCUGAAAAAUGCAGUAACAAAAUAAAAAAAGAUUAUAUGGAAUCCCUACUAAAGAUAGAAUGUUAUCCAAUCUGAAGAACAAAGAGAAAAAAGAUUGAAGAAAAAUGAGCAGUCUCAGAGACCUACGAGACAGCAUCAAGCAUAACAACUGUGGAAGAGGAGUUUCAAAAUGAGAGAAGAGGAAAAGGGCAGGAAAAUAAAAUUGAACAAAUAGUACUCAAAUCCUCCCAAAUUUGAGGAAAAACAUUAACUAUAGAUCUAGGAACCCCACUGUACCCCAAGUAGGAAAAUCACAGAGAUCUUCACUUAGUCACAUCAAACUGUUGAAAUCAAAAAGCAAAGAGAAAAUCCUGAAGGCAGCAAGAGGAAAACUAAUCAUCUAUAAGAGAACAAUAGUACAAAUCAUGGUUAAAUCCUCAUUAGUAACAGUGGAGGCCGGAAAGCAGUAGAAAGACAUAUUCAAAACACUGAAACAUUUGUCAGCCAAUAAUUUUAUAUUCAGCAAGAUUAUCCUUCGAAAAGGAAAGUGAAAUAAAGACAUUUUCAGAUAAACAAAAACUGAGAUAAUAUAUCGCUAAUGACCUGCCUUACAAAAAAUACUAAACAAAAUCCUUCAAGAUGGGAAUGAAAAUUACUCCAGUUGAUAACUUGAAUCCACAAGAAGAAAUGAAAAAUACUGAAAAUGGUUAACAUAUGGGUAAUUAUAAAAGACUUAAUGAGUAUACAUUUUUUCUUCUAUUAUUUCUUUAAAUGGUAUGAUAUGCAAAAAAACUGUACUUUUUGGUUUAAAAUAUAAAUAGAUGUAGUAAUGUACGAUACUAACAGCACAAAAGUGAGAGUAGGGUAGGGAGGAAAUUGAGCUGGAUUGGAGGAAAGUUGCUAUAUUUUAC